rnacentral:rRNA from 1 species
GGGACUGAGACACGGCCCAGACUCCUACGGGAGGCAGCAGUGGGGGAUAUUGCACAAUGGGGGAAACCCUGAUGCAGCGACGCCGCGUGGAGGAAGAAGGUUUUCGGAUUGUAAACUCCUGUCGUUAGGGACGAUAAUGACGGUACCUAACAAGAAAGCACCGGCUAACUACGUGCCAGCAGCCGCGGUAAAACGUAGGUCACAAGCGUUGUCCGGAAUUACUGGGUGUAAAGGGAGCGCAGGCGGGCGAUCAAGUUGGAAGUGAAAUCCAUGGGCUCAACCCAUGAACUGCUUUCAAAACUGAUUGUCUUGAGUAGUGCAGAGGUAGGCGGAAUUCCCGGUGUAGCGGUGGGAAUGCGUAGAUAUCGGGAGGGAACACCAGUGGCGAAGGCGGCCUACUGGGCACCAACUGACGCUGAGGCUCGAAAGUGUGGGGUAGCAAACAGGAUUAGAUACCCCUGGUAGUCCACACCGUAAACGAUGAUUACUAGGUGUUGGAGGAUUGACCCCUUCAGUGCCGCAGUUAACACAAUAAGUAAUCCACCUGGGGAGUACGACCGCAAGGUUGAAACUCAAAGGAAUUGACGGGGGCCCGCACAAGCAGUGGAGUAUGUGGUUUAAUUCGACGCAACGCGAAGAACCUUACCAAGUCUUGACAUCCUGCGACGAUGCUAGAAAUAGUAUUUUCCUUCGGGACGCAGAGACAGGUGGUGCAUGGUUGUCGUCAGCUCGUGUCGUGAGAUGUUGGGUUAAGUCCCGCAACGAGCGCAACCCUUAUGGUCAGUUACUACGCAAGAGGACUCUGGCCAGACUGCCGUUGACAAAACGGAGGAAGGUGGGGAUGACGUCAAAUCAUCAUGCCCUUUAUGACUUGGGCUACACACGUACUACAAUGG